rnacentral:snRNA from 1 species
AUUGCUUCUCAGCCUUUUGGCUAAAAUCAAGUGUAGUAUCUGUUCUUAUCAGUUCAAUGGUACAUAAAAAAAA